rnacentral:rRNA from 1 species
UACAGAGGGUGCAAGCGUUGUCCGGAUUUAUUGGGCGUAAAGAGCGUGUAGGCGGCCAGGUAGGUCGGUUGUGAAAACUGGAGGCUUAACCUUCAGACGUCGACCGAAACCAUCUGGCUAGAGUCCGGAAGAGGAGAGUGGAAUUCCUGGUGUAGCGGUGAAAUGCGCAGAUAUCAGGAAGAACACCCGUGGCGAAGGCGGCUCUCUGGGACGGUACUGACGCUGAGACGCGAAAGCGUGGGGAGCGAACAGG